rnacentral:rRNA from 1 species
AAAGGAAUUGACGGGGGCCCGCACAAGCGGCGGAGCAUGCGGAUUAAUUCGAUGCAACGCGAAGAACCUUACCAAGGCUUGACAUACACCAGACCGGCCCAGAGAUGGGUUUUCCUCUUUGAGGUUGGUGUACAGGUGGUGCAUGGUUGUCGUCAGCUCGUGUCGUGAGAUGUUGGGUUAAGUCCCGCAACGAGCGCAACCCUCGUUCUAUGUUGCCAGCACGUGAUGGUGGGGACUCAUAGGAGACUGCCGGGGUCAACUCGGAGGAAGGUGGGGAUGACGUCAAAUCAUCAUGCCCCUUAUGUCUUGGGCUUCACGCAUGCUACAAUGGCCGGUACAAUGGGUUGCGAUACCGUGAGGUGGAGCUAAUCCCAAAAAGCUGGUCUCAGUUCGGAUCGUGGUCUGCAACUCGACCACGUGAAGUCGGAGUCGCUAGUAAUCGCAGAUCAGCAACGCUGCGGUGAAUACGUUCCCGGGCCUUGUACACACCGCCCGU